GCGAUUUCUCUACAUGGUGGCAUGAGGAAGCUCAAGCUUUCGAAAAAAGAAGUUUCUGUGAGUGUCAGUAUACCAUUUGUGAUAAAGAGCAAAAAGUAGUGUCUGAUAGUGUUUGUAGUGAAUCAGGUGAGCAUGGAUCCACUGACGUCUUUAAAAGCAAGAAGAGAAAAA